rnacentral:lncRNA from 1 species
UCCUUCGCGAACGGGAAGGCCAAAAUUGGCCUGCAAUUGCUGUUGCAAAAUCCAUGACUCCUCAACUCCUCGAAACUCUCUGUUAGCUAUCUGAAACCACCCCAAGGCCCCCGGGACCUCAACGAAAAAUGCCAACCCUUCCUAAAAUAUCAUACAAACCCGUUCCAAUCAUAAAAACACAUCCAACAACACAAGAAUCAUCAAUUCUCAACGGAUUCAAGCCUAAGUUCAACCAAAACUUCCGAAACUCACAUUCGAUCAAAAACCCGACCUAAA